rnacentral:snoRNA from 1 species
UAGCCUGAAAUGAUGAUUUACAUUCAUGUCUCUUCUCUGAGAUUUCUUCUGAAGAAAAUGUGUUUAACUGAUCAGGCUC